AGUACAGUACUCUGCACACAGAGCACUGAUUGAUUGAUUGAUUGACCAAUUCUAAAUGAGCAGGUUUGAGAUUGGACAGUCUAUUUUAGCCUGUCUAGGCCUUGGCCAC